GGCUGAGGCGUGUGAAGGCAUCAUACGUGUGCGAAAGAGAUUAGAGAGGCGCUACUGCUGCGGCGCUAGGAGCCAUACUGCUAGGGUUUCUUUGAAACUUUUUUUUGGGCUUGUAUUGGGCUAAUGGUUUGGGUAGUUUAGGAUCUGUUUGGGUUAUUGGGCUAUUUUGGAUUGUUAUUAAUUUUUGUUUGGUUUUUAUUUUUUUACUACGGGCAGGGCAAAU
rnacentral:lncRNA from 1 species